rnacentral:rRNA from 1 species
AUUGAACGCUGGCGGCAGGCCUAACACAUGCAAGUCGAGCGGAUGAAGGGAGCUUGCUCCUGGAUUCAGCGGCGGACGGGUGAGUAAUGCCUAGGAAUCUGCCUGGUAGUGGGGGAUAACGUCCGGAAACGGGCGCUAAUACCGCAUACGCCCUGAGGGAGAAAUUGGGGGAUCUUCGGACCUCACGCUAUCAGAUGAGCCUAGGUCGGAUUAGCUAGUUGGUGGGGUAAAGGCCUACCAAGGCGACGAUCCGUAACUGGUCUGAGAGGAUGGUCAGUCACACUGGAACUGAGACACGGUCCAGACUCCUAAGGGAGGCAGCAGUGGGGAAUAUUGGACAAUGGGCGAAAGCCUGAUCCAGCCAUGCCGCGUGUGUGAAGAAGGUCUUCGGAUUGUAAAGCACUUUAAGUUGGGAGGAAGGGCAGUAAGUUAAUACCUUGCUGUUUUGACGUUACCAACAGAAUAAGCACCGGCUAACUUCGUG